AAAUGGUGAGGCAAGAGCUCACCGGCGGCCGGGUGACCGGCCGGCCAGGCAAACCCCGCCCGGAGCAAGACCAAAUAGGAGGGCGUUUUAAAGGCUGCUCGUCCAGCCCUCGGGUUAGCGGUCGCUCGAGGCGCCGGGAAACCGGCGUCCUAGACAGAUGAUCGCCGGAGGUGAAAGCCUCUACAGGACCCGGCUUAUAGUCCGCUCUCGACC
rnacentral:RNase_P_RNA from 1 species